rnacentral:rRNA from 1 species
AGACUUUGAUCCUGGCUCAGGAUGAACGCUGGCGGUCUGCUUAACACAUGCAAGUCGAACGGUGAACCUUCGGGUUCAUAGUGGCGGACGGGUGAGUAACACGUGAGAAUCUGCCUCCAGGUCGGGGACAACAGCGGGAAACUGCUGCUAAUACCCGAUGUGCCUACUAGGUGAAAGAUUUAUUGCCUGGAGAUGAGCUCGCGUCCGAUUAGCUAGUUGGUAAGGUAAAGGCUUACCAAGGCUCCGAUCGGUAGCUGGUCUGAGAGGAUGAGCAGCCACACUGGGACUGAGACACGGCCCAGACUCCUACGGGAGGCAGCAGUGGGGAAUUUUCCGCAAUGGGCGAAAGCCUGACGGAGCAAGACCGCGUGGGGGAUGAAGGCUCUUGGGUUGUAAACCCCUUUUCUCAGGGAAGAAGUUCUGACGGUACCUGAGGAAUCAGCAUCGGCUA